UACAGAGGUCCCGAGCGUUGUUCGGAUUCACUGGGCGUAAAGGGUGCGUAGGUGGUGAGGUAAGUCGGAUGUGAAAUCUCCGAGCUCAACUCGGAAAUGGCAUUGGAAACUACCUUGCUUGAGGGUUGGAGGGGGGACUGGAAUACUUGGUGUAGCAGUGAAAUGCGUAGAUAUCAAGUGGAACACCAGUGGCGAAGGCGAGUCCCUGGACAACUCCUGACACUGAGGCACGAAAAGCUAGGGGGAGCAAACAG
rnacentral:rRNA from 1 species